GACGAACGCUGGCGGCGUGCCUAAUACAUGCAAGUAGGACGCAGUUGCGAACGGGUGCGUCACGCGUAGGUAACUACCUAUUAGAGGGGGAUAACUAUUGGAAACGAUAGCUAAUACCGCAUACUAGUAGAUUGACCUUCGUUGUAUUAGCUAGUAGGUAGGGUAAUGGGCUACCUAGGCAACGAUACAUAGCCGAACUGAGAGGGAGGUCGGGCACACUGGGACUGGGAAAAGGGCCAGACUCCUACGGGAGGGAGCAGUAGGGGAACUUCGGAAAUGGGGGGAACACUGACCGAGCAACGCCGCGGGAGUGAAGAAGGUGUUUGGAGCGUAAAGCUAUGUUGUUAAGGAAGCGGUACUUAACCAGAAAGCGACGGCUAACUACGUGCCAGCAGCCGCGGUAAUUC
rnacentral:rRNA from 1 species